rnacentral:lncRNA from 1 species
CGGCACCUACCGGGUGUUCACGUCGGUGUGCAACUACUCCCGGUACGUGGCCGAGUACUACGGCGGCGCGCUGUCGCCGCUGUGCGCCCGGGUGAUGAACCAGGUGACCCGCGAGACGAGCCGUUUCGUCGACAAGUACGACGUCACCCUCGACGUCUGCCUCUCCUCGGUGCUCUCCCAGUCCAAGGUCCUGACGCCGCACCAGCAGGCCGGCAACCGCAUCGACGUCUGCGUCGAGGACGAGACCGUCAGGUACCUCAACCGCCGUGACGUCCAGGCGGCGAUGCACGCAAGGC